rnacentral:lncRNA from 1 species
UAGUUCUGCCCUAGCAUAAACUCUGUGUGUGUGUGUGUGUGUGUGUGUGUGUGUGUGAGCAUGUACACAAAAGUAGUCCUCAAAAUUCUCAUUCCUGGCACAAUUCAAUAGGUGGAGGAAAAUAGGUUAACCAGCAAAGCACUAAGAGGCAUCCAUUGCAUACCUGUCCCUCUGGUCCCCAAGCAUUCACCCAGACUAAUAAGAAUUUCCUGAAGCAUGUACAGUUAUUCUUAUUUGAUGAGUCUGGAAUGCUUUAUUUUUUUCCUCCUUAAAAAUCAAAGGAAUCCUACAGAUGCUGACAUUAAACAUACUGAUGGGAAUUAUGAUCAUAUGUCAGAAAAAUAUAUAACUCCUUUGGGCUCUGUAAGAAGCUGACAGCCUUCCCAUAAAAUAUUAACCGCUCACAAUAAAAUCCCUUCACAAGGAGUGAGAGAAAUGGAGAAGGUGAAGCAAUAUUGUUCCAUUAACUCCAAGAAAGGUCAAGAGGUUGUCACCUUGGUGACCAUCCCCUAGGCAAGGUGUUGGGGUGCUAGGAAGAAGGUGGAGGCUGACCAAUUCCCUCAUCUGACAGGUUGUGUGAACAUAAGGAUUGGCUCUCAAGAUGAAGCAGCCAUUUGAAGCUUCCAAAGACCACUCGAGCAUGACCAUUCAUUAAGAAUUUCAAUUUUGACAGAAGCAGAUGUAACAGGUUUCUUUUUAUCUCUGUUGUUCAUAAAAAAAAACUGCCUAAAGAAGGGUGAAUCUUCUCUGUUAGCCCCUUAACGGGAUAAGACAUUCGAAUUAAGAAAAUGAAAUUGAAGAGGGAUGAUCUGCUUGGCAUAAGACAAGAAGGAGAGCUGAGUACUCUGAAGUGUAAUCUUGCAUGGGAUUUGAGCAGAGGCUAGUGAGAAGAAAAGCAAAAGUAAAUGGUAUUGUGAUCCCGGAAAUGUUCAAUGUAAUCUGCCAAGCUCAUACAUGCUUUAGGUGAGUGAUUUUCAGUGGUGAAAAUUCUAAAAACAAUAGUUUAUAUCAGAUAUUUUGUGAUGUGAACUGAAGCAACAUUCCAAUAAUAAGCCUAUGCCACAAUUCCUGUUCUCCACUUGGGACUGGUAGAGACUGUUAGAGGUUUAGGGGUUACCCUGGCCACAGUAUUGAGGGGUUCAAGGCAAAACCACAUGGAUAUCAAGAAGCAGAUGACUCUCCUCCUCCCUUACGCCACAUCCAAACAAGUGAAGUCUGGAUUUUAAAAAUACAUUCAUUUGUAAUAUUAUUUCUUGGAAUAAAACAACUAUUUCAUACUUGUUGAAUUAAUGACUAAAGAAAAUACAAAAAGACUUUGCACUCACAACCUGUAUUAAUUAAUUCAUCUUGAAAAUAAAACUACUAAUGGUAAUCAUAUUUUAAUGUAAAAUAAAAUCAGUUUAAACAAAACAAGACACCAAUAUUAAUAGCAUGAAAUAUCCAGUUGUCUUAACUGAGUGUGCUAUGUAAAUGCAAUUACCUUAAGUGCUUUCCCUUUUCAUCCAAAAGAGAAUUUGUUUAUACUAUGUAGAGGCAAAUACCAUAUAUAAAAAAUGUCUUCUGGUGAUAAAUGUUUUUCAUUUUAUGCAACCUUCUUGAAUUGCAUUUUGUGUGUUUACAAAUAUAUACCAAGCCUCCCAGAUAUUGGCAAAAGAAAAGUAUAACCUAUCCAAAAAUCUUCCGUUUAUAUAAAAUAUACAAAUUGCUGCUAAGAAAUGACAUAACUUUAUUCUAUCAAUUCUAUAGUCUAAGCGUUUUAAAGUAUAGCUGGAAGGGAUCUCAAAAGGAUCAUCUAAUCCAGUAUUAAGGCAAGAGCUUGUCUAAGCUAUGCUAGACAGUAGGAGGCCCAUUUCUUUUUUUAUAUUUUUGCUUCCUCAGACAUGGGAAACCACUGUUCAUACAAAUUUCACCUAGCAACCAUCAAAGGGUUUGAAAACAAUUAAUAGAUCACUCCCCAGCUGCUACUUCUGAAAGCUAAACACAAAUUCUUUAGCCAUUUCCUGAGAAAACCCAGUUAUCCAGACUUCAACUAUUUUUGUGACUAUUCAGAACUGAGGUUUCUUUUCUUGCAUUUUUAAAAAUGUGAAAACCCAGAGGUAUACAAAACAAGGCAAAAAGAGCAAGGUGAUGCACAUUAGAAGAGAGAAUGUAUCUUAUUACACAAUGGAUUUGGCUUCUUUCACAGCAGCACCAUAAUGCAGACUUAGGCACAUCUCAGGGCUCAUGCUGAAAAUCAGAUCUCGCUCCCCGUUUCAACGAUCUCCAGUUAGUUCUUCCUGAACUUGGCAUUUUAUUCAAGUUUAAACUUGUAUUAUUUUUAUUAAGAGUGGUAAAAUAAUUAGUUUACUAUUACAGGAAAAAAAAAAAAAAGUUUGAAGUCAGUGGCCUGGAUCGGAAUCUCUGCUGGUUGUGUGGCCUGGACUGUAAUGUCCUCAACUCUAAAAUGUGAAAAUUAUUCUCUACAUUCUAGAUUAGAUAAUUUGUGGGACUGUCUUAGAAGCCAUAUAUAAAUCACUACCACAGGGCCUGUUGUAUAAUAGCCAUUCCACUAGAGUUAACUUUCUACCCCAAAUUGCUUCUUCCUGAAAUAUUUGCUGCCUGGUCACUUAAGUUAGAGGUAUAAAGUCAACCUUCAUUAUUUCUUCUUUUUUAGCUUCCACUUCCAGUUAUUUUUUUUUCCUUUCAUCCCUAAGAUAUUAUUUCAAGCCUUCAUUAUCAUACAAUUAGAAGGUUGCAGUUGAUUCCUAGCUUUCAUUCCUCCACUCUUUUCCCUCUCCAUUUUAUUUUAUUUAUUUAUGUUUUGAGACAGGGUCUUGCUCUGUCACCCAGGGUGAAGG